rnacentral:rRNA from 1 species
AUUGAACGCUGGCGGCAGGCCUAACACAUGCAAGUCGAACGAGUGGCGGACGGGUGAGUAAUGUCUGGGAACCUGCCCGCAGGAGGGGGAUAACUACUGGAACCGGUAGCUAAUACCGCAUACCAUCGGAUGUGCCCAGAUGGGAUGAGCUAGUGGGUGGGGUAACGGCUCACCUAGGCGACGAUCCCUAGCUGGUCUGAGAGGAUGACCAGCCACACUGGAACUGAGACACGGUCCAGACUCCUACGGGAGGCAGCAGUGGGGAAUAUUGCACAAUGGGCGCAAGCCUGAUACAGCAAUGCCGCGUGUAUGAAGAAGGCCUUCGGGUUGUAAAGUACUUUCAGCGAGGAGGCGUUACUCGCAGAAGAAGCACCGGCUAACUCCGUGCCAGCAGCCGCGGUAAUUC